GUGAGGAAUAUUGAGCAAUGGGCGCAAGCCUGACUCAGCAACGCCGCGUGGAUGAUGAAGGCCUUCGGGUUGUAAAAUCCUUUUCUGAGGGACGAUAAUGACGGUACCUCAGGAAUAAGUCCCGGCUAACUACGUGCCAGCAGCCGCGGUAAAACGUAGGGGGCGAGCGUUAUCCGGAUUUACUGGGCGUAAAGCGCACGUAGGCGGUGCUGAAAGUUGGACGUUAAAGCUCCUGGCUUAACUGGGAGAGGUCGUUCAAAACUACAGCGCUUGAGGUUGAAAGAGGAGAGUGGAAUUCCCGGUGUAGUGGUGGAAUGCGUAGAUAUCGGGAGGAAUACCAGUGGCGAAAGCGGCUCUCUGGUUCAUACCUGACGCUGAGGUGCGAAAGCGUGGGGAGCAAACGGGAUUAGAAACCCCAGUAGUCC
rnacentral:rRNA from 1 species